CCUACGGGAGGCUGCAGUGAGGAAUAUUGGUCAAUGGCCGGAAGGCUGAACCAGCCAUGCCGCGUGAAGGUCAGUGCCCUAUGGGCGGUAAACUUCUGUUGUGCGGGAGCAAUAAUGGUCACGUGUGGCCAGACGAGAGUGCCGUACGAAUAUGCAUCAGCUAACUCCGUGCCAGCAGCCGCGGUAAUACGGGUGAUGCAAGCGUUAUCCUGAUUUAUUGGGUUUAAAGGGUGCGUGUGCUGUGAGGUAAGUCAGCGGUGAAAUGCCCCCGCGCAAGGGGGUGAAGUGCCAGUGAUACUGGCAUGCUGGAGUGCGGAUGAGGUGGGAGGAAUGCGUGGUGUAGCGGUGAAAUGCAUAGAUAUA
rnacentral:rRNA from 1 species